GUUGCCCUAAUUACUUAAAAGAAAACAAACAAAGAAAGAUAGAAACUUACCUGCGGCGUUGAGACGAGAGCACGGUGUGUGAGGGUGGAAACGUUUUGAGACAUUGACGAAAGAAAAGACAUUGGUGGAUUAGUUUGCUUGAUUGCGGUUCUUCGGUUGAGCGAGUGUUCCACAGACUUCGACUCGACCUCAGCUCUAGUCAGUCUCAAGAUCAUCGGAUUUCAGGGUGAGCUAUCCUUCUAGCUGCGUGAUGGAUUUUCUCGGUUAUGGCAUAGUGUCUUUAGUUUUCAGACACAUUUAUUUAAUUGUUCAUUUUGGUGCUUAAUGUUCCAGACUUAGUUUUAGAAAUUAGAUGUCCUUAAUGUGAUGACUUUCAGAUUUUGGGGAAAAAUAUAUUUAUUUGAGUUUCCGCGUUAUUGUUAUUAG